CACAUCCACAUUUGUAAGUCGCUCUGGAUAAGAGCAUCUGCUAAAUGACGUAAA
rfam:Salmo salar isolate Sally breed double haploid chromosome ssa22, whole genome shotgun sequence.